GUCAGUCCACGCUGCUUUCAUCAGUAUUUUACUAAACACAGUCAGUAUCACAGAUCCAGGGUCUGUGCUACCAAGCAGGAUUUGUGGUUAUCAGGUUAACUUCAGGUUUAGUUUUUUCAGUCCUACAAAGCUCGUCCACUUCUUAACCAGGUAAAUCACCAUGUCCUCAGAGACGGUGAGUGUCUUUUUCUCUUCCACUCAUCUUGUUAGUAAACAACAGAUUCAGAUCUCGUGGCCUCGAGUUAUUUGUCUUGUUCACAAACGUUAUUAUGUCGUGGUCACGUAAUAUAUUUUUACCAGAUGCCACCAGGGGGCGCUGUAACUUACACAUUAACACGAUCCAGAUGUUUUACCAACUGUUCUUCCUGCAUUUAGCAGCUGUGACUGAGUUUCUUUUAUUCUGGAUCAUGUGUUCUUUCUCCUCUGAUUUUUAUUAUAGAACAGUUUGAUCCUGGUUGUGAAAUAUGAGGCUCUGCUGUCAGUCAAACUGUCCAUGUCUGUGAUUGGUCAUACACAGUAAACCCCGCCCCUUUUAUGUGCACGCUCAGAUCUCGAUGAGGAAAACCUGAGUUAACUUAACGAGUUGAUAACCAGCGUCAUGUGACCACUUAGCCUGACUGUGUGUGUCAGGUUCAGUUGAGCUGAUCUCAGAAAGAUCUCCUGGACAUGUUGAAGUGUCUUCGUAGUUCAGGCCUCAGUGUUUCCUCAGUGAAGCUGUGAGAGGACAAUGAGGACAGACGUCAGGAUUGGACAGAGACACAGAGAGACAACAGUCAGCCAAUCAGACGAGCCACAAGCUGCUUGGGAUCAUGUGACUGAGUUGACGUGAAGACGACAGUUGUUGUUGUUUUCAUGUGACCAGGAAAUGAAGCUGGACCACAACUGACAGCCUCACACGAGGGACAGAGACGGUGUCGUCUUCAUCUGAUCUGAGACAGUUUGUCCUCUCACUUCAUCAGUGAAGAACUGAUCAGGUGGAUCUUUGUCACAGCUCUGAGAUCAGUGGGACUGAAGCCUCUCCUCAUCACAUGGUGGAAGGUGGGGUCUGAGUCUGAGUCUGAGUCUGAGUGUAGCUGAGUGUGAAGAGGACAGUGUGUGUGGACGGAGGCUGAGCUGUGUCCUGAGGAUCCAGAGGCUGAAGCAGCAGCAGCUUGUGUGUAGAGUGGCUCUGACUGGGCCUUGUUACUGGGAGGCAGAGUGGAGACAGAGCUCCAGAGGAAUCAGAGGAGGUGGUUGUAAUAUGUAUUUUCACCACUAGAUGGCCCUCCACACCGAUUGUGUUUAUUCACAUGAAGAAUGUGUUUAUUGACAUGACACAACACAAGCAGAAUAUAUAACCCCUCUAUAAAGAGUCACAUAUAUGUGUUUCCUUUAUUCUGUUCCACAUUUGUCCCUCAGUCUGUCUCCAUGUGUGUAGAACCACAUUCUGUUUGUUUAUGAUCUUAAAGUUCCUGGAUUCACGUCACAAAUUGAUUUAGUUCAACACAAAGUUCAACACAAUCAAAUCACUUUGAGUUUUAAAUCAGAGUUUUGUCUUUAACACAAAAGAUCAAAACUCUGGACUUAAAAAUGGGACAUUUUCAUUUCUGCAUCAGGUGCAGAGCGGUGGUGUCUUUUCUACUUUUGACCCACAGGUGGCGCUGCAGUAUAACAGCAGCACAUCCCAGUCAAAGCCUUUAUAUUCAGUCUAUGAGUCAAACACAUGGAUCAUUUCCUCUGUGACAAACCAGAUGUAACGAGAAGAAAAACAUCUCAGAGAGAAAAGUUCUGUUUCUACUUGUCUCUGCUUUAAUGCUCAAUAAACAUCCUUCCACCGAC